UGCUCUGCGGCGCCCAGCCCGCCGGCUCCCCGGGGUGUGGCGGCGAACUUCCACUCCUUUGGACCCGUGAGGACGCUGGGUCCCUUGUCUGCGCUUGGACCUGGGGAGCUUCUCGGGCCCUGGAGAGGCGCCCCGAGGAGCGGCCACGGAUAAAGGGUAAAUGUGUUUAAAAAUGCCUGUGGUGCAUCAUGUAAUGGAAACAUACAAGAAAGGCCUGAUAAUUUCCAUUUGCAAAAGCCAACAUCUCUAAAGAGAAAUUCUGAAAUCAGAGAAAGGAGUCACUGCUCUGGGACACAAGGAGAAGUACUCUAAAGUGCUGACUUUGAUUUUCACAAGAAGAAAGACCGGACGGCAGGGGAAAGUGGCUAACACAGCUGGGAUGAGGCUAAAGGGGCAGAAGCACCCCAGAGAGGAGGUGCGGUGUCCUAAUGUGGAGCCUGGAGGCAGCCCCGGCUGCAAAGGGGGAGGGGGGGACUAUCACCAUUGUCGGAGGACACUGGCCAUUUUUUCAGCUUUGCAGAUUUUCUUUUAAAUUAAAAAUAUUAUGGAAACCAGUAAAAUAAAUUAUGGUACAAAAAAGAAGGCAUAAAUAAUAACUGACUGUGAAGGGAAGGGUUGGCGCCUUGGGGAGCUACACAUGGGGGUUGGGAAUGAAGGAAAUGAAAGGCCACAUGAAUAUCCAGGGCUUCCCAAUAAGCAAAAAAAGCAGUAUGAGCUGAAGGCAAAUUAAUCAUCCCAUCCAAUAAGCAUUUUCCUACAAGGAAAUGGUUCAGUUAGCAUGUAGAAUUCCAUUCUUUCGUGCAGUGUUCCGGAAAUCACUUAGAAAAUAGGGUGAGCACGAUAAUGGUGAAAACUAAGACACCAUCAUUGAAAAGAAGAGCCUUAGCUCUACAUCGGGAUCCCUCUCAAUGUCUCCAUUAGUAAGAUCACUGCAUUGAAAAUGAAAAUCCAUUUGGUAUAAGGAUGCAAGAUGGUGUCAGGCUGCGAAAGCGGUAAAGCAGUUGAAUCUACAGUGGUUAGAAACAAGGCAGCUUGUGGAGGGAGGUCAGGGAAGCUACUGAGAUGCUAAAACAAAAGUUAAGUCAAAUAAGCGAGAGGGAGAGAUGACUGGCACUCACCGCCACAGUCCUGAAUAGAAAGAGAGUGACCCACGUUGACACAGGCUGCUAGGCCGGGCCCAGCCUCGGAGAGAAACAGACCCUGGUUAGUUAGGACACAAGGCAGGAACCUAUCACAGCAACACUCCUCAAUAAUGUCUUCCUGUCUUUAAUGUUUUCUUCCCCUUCCUGUCAGGUAAGAUCUCUGUUUUACAAAAGCUCUUUUGGGAUCAGGGUGAUCCUCAGUCUAUUCCCUGUGGGUGUGUCUGCAUUCUUGACCAUUUUCGAAGGAUUUUCCAAAAGAGCACAAUAAUGUAGCUUUUCCCUGGGGUCUUACCUGCUCUGCUCUGACCGCCUAACAGGGCAGGGUGAAGGCUCAGUUCUCACCCACCUUACCCAUAGCUGCCCGCCCCUCACCGACCCCUGUGCACUUUUUAUAUCAUUAAGAAGCAAGACUGCAGGGCUGUGUUAGCCACACAUAUUCAUGACAAUCAAGGCGAUGGAGCGCUCUACAUCUACACACCCAGGACAGUAUCUGGGGGUGAG